CGUGCUAGACGGGGCAUUAGCGGCGCCUUGUAACCCGCAAUCCGCUAUAGCGGGGUCGAAUUCCACGUCUGAGGAGUUCCGCUUCGGCACCUGGUUGCCGAGUCUGCGGUGUCGAUCGUCAGGUCCUGCGCAACGAAUCCUCGCCAAACCCCGUCAGGACCGGAAGGUAGCAGCGGUAAGCGAUCAGGCUCGUGUGCCGCGGGGCGACCUGGCGGGAGCCAGCGCUCGGUCAUCAGGACUGCGGCGAUCUUCGAAGCGCGGUGCACG
rnacentral:SRP_RNA from 1 species